rnacentral:rRNA from 1 species
GUGUCAGCCGCCGCGGUAAUACGGAGGAUGCGAGCGUUAUCCGGAUUUAUUGGGUUUAAAGGGUGCGUAGGCCGGCUGUUAAGUCAGCGGUAAAAUUGAGAGGCUUAACCUCUUCGAGCCGUUGAAACUGGCGGUCUUGAGUGGGCGAGAAGUAUGCGGAAUGCGUGGUGUAGCGGUGAAAUGCAUAGAUAUCACGCAGAACUCCGAUUGCGAAGGCAGCAUACCGGCGCCCGACUGACGCUGAGGCACGAAAGCGUGGGUAUCGAACAGGAUUAGAUACCCUGGUAGUCCACGCAGUAAACGAUGAAUACUAGCUGUCCGGGGCGAAUGAGCCUUGGGUGGCACAGCGAAAGCGUUAAGUAUUCCACCUGGGGAGUACGCCGGCAACGGUGAA